UAGAGUUUGAUCAUGGCUCAGAACGAACGCUGGCGGCGUGGAUUAGGCAUGCAAGUCGAGCGAUCCUUCGGGAUAGCGGCAAAAGGGUGAGUAACGCGUGGGCAAUCUACCCUCAAGUUAAGCAUAACACCGAGAAAUUGGUGCUAAUACUUUAUGUGACCACAAGCACACAAGUGCAUGAGGUAAAAGGUGGGGACCUUCGGGCCUACCACUCGAGGAGGAACCCGCGUCCUAUUAGCUAGUUGGUGAGGUAACGGCUCACCAAGGCGAAGAUGGGUAGCUGGUCUGAGAGGAUGGUCAGCCACACUGGGACUGAGACACUGCCCAGACUCCUACGGGAGGCUGCAGUCGAGAAUCUUUUGCAAUGGGGGAAACCCUGACGAUGCGACGCCGCGUGAGCGAUGAAGGCCUUCGGGUCGUAAAGCUCUGUUUGCCUGGAAGAAAGACCUUGAUCGAAUAGGCCAAGGGGAUGACGGUACAGGCAGAGGAAGUCACGGCUAACUCCGUGCCAGCAGCCGCGGUAGUACGGAGGUGGCAAGCGUUGUUCGGAUUUAUUGGGUGUAAAGGGUAUGUAGGUGGUUAAGUAAGUCGAGCGUGAAAUCCAUUGGCUCAACCAAUGAACUGCACUCGAAACUGCAUAACUUGAGUUCAGGAGAGGAAAGCGGAAUUCCCGGUGUAAGAGUGAAAUCUGUAGAGAUCGGGAGGAACACCAGUGGCNAANNCGGCUUUCUGGACUGAUACUGACACUGAAAUACGAAAGCUAGGGANCAAACNGGAUUAGAUACCCUGGUAGUCCUAGCCNUAAACNAUGGGCACU
rnacentral:rRNA from 1 species